rnacentral:tRNA from 1 species
GGCCCCAUCAUCUAAUGGUUAGGAUAUCUCGCUUUCAAUGAGAAAACACGGGUUCGAUUCCCGUUGGGGCUA